rnacentral:rRNA from 1 species
CUAAAUAUAGGCGAGAGACCGAUAGCGAACAAGUACCGUGAGGGAAAGAUGAAAAGAACUUUGAAAAGAGAGUUAAAUAGUACGUGAAAUUGUUGAUAGGGAAACGAUUGAAGUCAGUCAUGCCGGUGAGAAAUCAGCUUACAGGCUACUGUGAGUGCACUUUUUCGCAAGGCAGGUUAACAUCGGUUUUUGUUGCGUCAUAAUGAUUGUAGGAAGGUGGCUCCUUAGGGAGUGUUAUAGCCUACUUUAGAUGGCGCGACGAGGAUUGAGGAUUGCAGCGAAUGCCUUUGGCUACGGAUCUUUUCUCUGUCGAUCUUCAAUUGAUCGUCAGCUUGCUGACGAGCGGUUGAUGGGUUUACAAUAGGAUGGAAUCCGAUAAAUUCGUUAAGGAUGUA